AUGUACGUUGUCUCGUCGGUCUCUUCAUCCCUUUGGUCGGCACGCACCGGCGCUGCUGACCCGUGGUUGACCAGCAGCGGAGGCGUGUGUCAGGAGUCUCCAGCCGCUGCAUGCUACAUUAUCAGGUUUGAUCUUCUGUUAUGUCUUGAUCCCUUCAGUUUCCGAUUGGAACAUUCCAUUCUUGUUAGUGAUCAUCAGGGAUCCCAUCAGCCCUCAUAUCUGGACAGAUAUAUGGGAUUUUUCAUCCGUGUGUGGUUCAGUUGGCAUAUUAUUAGGCAUCUAAUAAAAUUGCCUAAAGGUGACCGCCGAAUACCAUCCCCUCACCGAUCAGGCCCAGAAGAUGGUGAAACUCUCACAAGGUGA
rnacentral:rRNA from 1 species